UAAGAGGUCCAGCCUGCCCAGUGACUCUAGUUCAACGGCCGCGGUAUCCUGACCGUGCGAAGGUAGCGUAAUCACUUGUCUUUUAAAUUGAGACUAGUAUGAAAGGCACCACGAGAAUUAAACUGUCUCCUUUUUCUAAUCUGUGAAACUGAUCCCCCCGUGAAGAAGCGGGGAUUUUGAUAUAAGACGAGAAGACCCUAUGGAGCUUCAGACAAAUAACAAUGCCCUCCCUUUUUUUCUAAAAAAUACCCGAGCAUCUUAAUUAUUUAGUCUUAGGUUGGGGCGACCAUGGAGUAAAAACCACCCUCCAUGCUGAACAGGACCUCCUUAAAUAAGAGUAACAACUCUAAGAAUCAAUAAAUUGACACAUUUGACCCAAUUACUUGAUCAACGAAACAAGUUACCCUAGG
rnacentral:rRNA from 1 species